UGGCCAGCAGCCCAAAGGAGGUAGAAGGAACAGCACGUUUAGCAGAGCCAUUGUCUUCCUCAUUGUCAUGGGGACGCUUUCUUGUUGUGGUUGGCUGGAAGAAAAACACAGGAGGAUGGCUCCAGGAAACCAGUUCACCUGAUUUGAUUGUGGCUACAUUUGAAUUGAUGGAUAAGGAAACAUCAUCUGAUCAUCCACCGUAAGAUCAGAAAAUAC